UACGGAGGGUGCGAGCGUUGUCCGGAUUUAUUGGGUUUAAAGGGUGCGUAGGCGGCCCGUUAAGUCCGGGGUGAAAGCCCGCUGCUCAACAGCGGAACUGCCCUGGAUACUGACGGGCUUGAGUACAGACGAGGUUGGCGGAAUGGACUGAGUAGCGGUGAAAUGCAUAGAUACAGUCCAGAACCCCGAUUGCGAAGGCAGCUGACUAGGCUGUUACUGACGCUGAGGCACGAAAGCGUGGGGAGCGAACAGG
rnacentral:rRNA from 2 species